rnacentral:rRNA from 1 species
ACGAACGCUGGCGGCGUGCUUAACACAUGCAAGUCGAACGGAAAGGCCCUGCUUUUGUGGGGUGCUCGAGUGGCGAACGGGUGAGUAACACGUGAGUAACCUGCCCUUGACUUUGGGAUAACUUCAGGAAACUGGGGCUAAUACCGGAUAGGAGCUCCUGCUGCAUGGUGGGGGUUGGAAAGUUUCGGCGGUUGGGGAUGGACUCGCGGCUUAUCAGCUUGUUGGUGGGGUAGUGGCUUACCAAGGCUUUGACGGGUAGCCGGCCUGGGAGGGUGACCGGCCACAUUGGGACUGAGAUACGGCCCAGACUCCUACGGGAGGCAGAAGUGGGGAAUAUUGCACAAUGGGCGGAAGCCUGAUGCAGCAACGCCGCGUGCGGGAUGACGGCCUUCGGGUUGUAAACCGCUUUCGCCUGUGACGAAGCGUGAGUGACGGUAAUGGGUAAAGAAGCACCGGCUAACUACGUG